CCUAGGGGAGACAGCAGUGAGGAAUAUUGGUCAAUGGCCGAGAGGCUGAACCAGCCAAGUCGCGUGAGGGAAGAAGGCCCUACGGGUUGUAAACUUCUUUUGUCGGGGAGUAAAGCGAGUCACGUGUGACUCAUUGAGUGUACCCGAUGAAAAAGCAUCGGCUAACUCCGUGCCAGCAGCCGCGGUAAUACGGAGGGUGCGAGCGUUAUCCGGAUUUAAUGGGUUUAAAGGGUGCGUAGGCUGGGAGGUAAGUCAGCGGUGGAAUGCCCCCGCUCAACGGGGUGAAGUGCCGUUGAUACUGCCUUGCUGGAAUGCAGCUGCGGUAGGAGGAAUGUGUGGUGUAGCGGUGAAAUGCAUAGAUAUCACGCAGAACACCGAUUGCGAAGGCAGCUCACGGAUCCGCGAUUGACGCUGAUGCACGAAAGCGUGGGUAUCAAACAGGAUUAGAUACCCCUGUAGUC
rnacentral:rRNA from 1 species